UUAUGGACAUUUUGGACUCCUAGACGAGCCAUGACAGUGUUGCUUGUGUGGUAGGGUGCUUGUGUACUGAUUCUUUUCCCUGCCCCGAAGCCUGCGUGGUGCUCUAGACGAUUUCCCACACCCGUCAGCCUUGAUGGGCAAUCAUCUGGCUACCGUGCUGGUUGGCUGGUGUGGUGAUUGUAGCUCGGAUAAGAGGCAGGGAGCGGCGGGACUGUGGGGGUGGAGUAGGGGAAAAAGCGAAGUCCUGCUGCCUGCUGACCGCUGUUUGCUGACCGCUGCCUGUGCUGACCGCUGCCUGUGCCGACCGCUGCUUGCUGACUGUGGCUGCCGACGAGGACGUUGAGCCGCUGUGGGCUAUCUACGCUAGACGAUCGCCACAGUAAAGGGAAGAGCUAUUUGUAUUCUUUUGUUAUUUCACAUGUCCAUGUAGCUCACGAUGGUGUUGGAAUUCCAGGCGGGUGCUGCCGGACGACGAGAUGGAGACUGAUCCGGAGGAGAGCCGCAGUUGAGUGACAACGCUAACUUGGAGUGCAUCAAAAGGGACGGUGAUAUUCCAACUCUGCAUCGUUGUGCGAGUGAGCGUCGCUGACACUGCUGGCUAGAGUGGUCUAAUGGCCUGUGUUUUGUCAACAGUUUCAGCCGGGACUCAGUGCUGCUUCUGCUUCCGUGGUUGACGACUCCACUGGCGUGCUGACGUGAACAUCGUGUCGCCGUGACGUCACCUUCAAGAACUAGGCUCACUGCCGAUCCGAUAGCGGACUACAUUUCCCAGAGGCCCCGGUGGUGAUUCGUGCUUAUGACUUUUGAAGUGCCUUAUGGUUCCGAGAUGGGAUUGACUACACGUGUGGUUUUGAGUGGCCAACCCUGAACAUGUCCGCCCCUAUAAGUUUUACCCUCCUGUCUAGAGUGGCGACCCAUGUGUUAUUACAUGAUAAAUAAAUCUGUAUUUUUA